rnacentral:rRNA from 1 species
UACGUAGGGUGCAAGCGUUGUCCGGAAUUAUUGGGCGUAAAGAGCUCGUAGGCGGUUUGUCGCGUCUGCUGUGAAAAACUCGGGGCUUAACUCCGGGCCUGCAGUGGGUACGGGCAGACUAGAGUGCGGUAGGGGAGACUGGAAUUCCUGGUGUAGCGGUGAAAUGCGCAGAUAUCUGGAGGAACACCGGUGGCGAAGGCGACAUCCUGGACCGGUAUUGACGCUGAGGGCGCGAAAAGCAUGGGGGAGCGAACAGG